GGGGAUUGUUGGGCUUUUGGUUGCUUGCUUGGUGUUGGUGCCUAGUGGGUGAUUUUUAGCUUGAUGUUCUUCGGGGAUGUCAAUCGUAAAGGUGCAUGAGUGGUGUUUGGUUUGUUACGGGUGGUUGGAUGUCUGUUUGUGCAGCGACUUCCAUGUGUUCAAGCCUCUUCAGUUGUGCUACAAGGCUUUAAUUGUCUUGUGCAUACAAUGGGUUUCUGUGUUGCAUACCUAAAGAAGGCAUCAUUUGGUUAGAUCAAAGUUCAUUUUCGUAAUGCGUCGCUUGCGGCGUUUAACGAACCUCGAAGCGGUCUCUAUGGUCCUUGCUGUUGUUGCCAAAUCAUUGAUGGCAUGGCCCUUGGAGCGCCGUAUGGUCUUUAGAAUAUGGAACCUGAUGUGGGCUGUAGGGUCUUUGAUGAUCCUAUGCUUGUCCUCUUAUAGCAUUCUCGCUUCUUUAAACGACCGUCUGUCAUGUUUUGGCAUGUUCAUACAUGGUGGGCUGUGUCGAGGAGGAAUGC
rnacentral:misc_RNA from 1 species